rnacentral:rRNA from 1 species
AGGGAUCAUUAUUGAAUGGCCCCUGUGCCUUCGACCCUCAAAACCGUGGAAGAGACACGUGCUUCGGCGCCCCAGGCGUCGUCUUUAUGCAACAAGUCCGUCUUGACGUCUGAAUUGAAAAUGGAAAAUCAAAACUUUCAACAAAGGAUCUCUUGGCUCUCGCAUCGAUGAAGAACGUAGUGAAGCGCGAAAUGUAGUGUGAAUCGCAGAACAUUGUGAAUCAUCGAAUCUUUGAACGCACAUUGCGCCUCCCUUCACGGGGGGGCAUGCCUGUCUGAGCGUCAUUUAAGUCGAUAGGCCCGAUCGGGUCUGUGUUGGGCCUCGCACGUCAGGGCGUCGCCUCGAAUGAAUCGGUCGAAUGUGCGGACGAGAUCCAUUAGGACUGACCGUUCAGAGACCAUAAACCUCUGAUUUGACCUCAGAUCAGGUAGGGACACCGCCUGAACUUAAGCAUAUCAAUAAGGCGAGGAACAGAAACCAACAGGGAUUCCCUCAGUAGUGGCGAAUGAAGCGGGAAAAGCUCAAGUUUGAAAUCUGGAGGCGACUUCAGAGUUGUAAGCUGAAGAGGUGUCGACCGACGCGGUCCGGGCCCAAUUUCCUUGGAACAGGAGGUCAUGGAGGGUGAGAACCCCGUCCGUGGCUCGGGAGCCGAUGUCCUUGUGUCGUAUCCUCGAAGAGUCGGGUUGUUUGGGAAUGCAGCUCAAAAUGGGUGGUAAAUUUCAUCUAAAGCUAAAUACUGGCGAGAGACCGAUAGCAAACAAGUAGAGUGAUCGAAAGAUGAAAAGUACUUUGAAAAGAGAGUGAAACAGUACGUGAAAUUGUUGAAAGGGAAGCGUUUGGCAUCAGCCCUCGGCGCUCGACGAUCAUCUGGGCUUCAUGUCCGGUGCACUUGUCGAACGUCGGGCCAGCGUCGGCUUUGCCCAUGGGAGAAAGGUGUGAGGGAUGUGGCUCCCUUCGGGGAGCGUUAUAACCCCAUACGUCAUACUAUGUGGCGGGGCCGAGGUCCGCGGUCAAUCCUAGGACGCUGGCGUAAUGGUUCCAAGCGACC